rnacentral:rRNA from 1 species
AGAACGAACGCUGGCGGCAUGCCUAACACAUGCAAGUCGAACGAGACCUUCGGGUCUAGUGGCGCACGGGUGCGUAACGCGUGGGAAUCUGCCCUUAGGUACGGAAUAACAGUGAGAAAUUACUGCUAAUACCGUAUGAUGCCUUCGGACCAAAGAUUUAUCGCCUAGGGAUGAGCCCGCGUUGGAUUAGCUAGUUGGUGGGGUAAAGGCCUACCAAGGCGACGAUCCAUAGCUGGUCUGAGAGGAUGAUCAGCCACACUGGGACUGAGACACGGCCCAGACUCCUACGGGAGGCAGCAGUGGGGAAUAUUGGACAAUGGGCGAAAGCCUGAUCCAGCAAUGCCGCGUGAGUGAAGAAGGCCUUCGGGUUGUAAAGCUCUUUUACCCGGGAAGAUAAUGACUGUACCGGAGAAUAAGCCCCGGCUAACUCCGUGCCAGCAGCCGC